AGACCUGUGAUGAUUAAAAAUAUCAAUAUAUCUGGAAUUACCGUCUGAAUCCUCUUGAUGUGAUCAGCAAUCUGAGGUCUACC